rnacentral:lncRNA from 1 species
UUCAUUUUUUUAUUUCAUUAUUUUUUAUAAUAAUACUGUGAUAUUUGUAUUAUAAAAAUAAAAAAUGGGUCUCAAAUGAGUUUGUGCAAAUAUUAAGUAUGUCAAAAGGUUGUAACUGUGGCUAUGCUUUUUGCAUAUUGUUUGUUAUUAGGAAUUUUUGUAAUUUCAUGCAUAUAUUACUCCAAAUAAAAUGAUAUAUUGGUCUUGCUCAAAAAUGAUAGGUUUCAAUCACUCCAACUUGCACCCUCAUAACCUUGGGGUUUGGUUCGAAUCCCCUGGUUAUGAAUUGAAAUGGUAAGAAAGUUAGAAAUUUCCAGAAUUUAUAGAUUGCUCAUUACUGAUGAUUAUUAUUACAUUCUACUUUAUUGUAAUAAAUUUAAUGAAAUCAAAAAUACAAAAACCAGACACCAAGACAAUUCAUUAAAAUUAUUAAUCUCCUUGAAUUCUGUUGAUGUUUUGAAAUUAUGCCUAAUUAAUAUACAAAAAAAAAUAAUAUAAUUAAAAUUAUGAAAUCUCGCUUAAUUUCCAUCAAAAUCUUUUGAAAUAUUCAGCAUUUAUUGCAUUUUUUAUUCUUUCUAACAAUGUAAGCAUUUUUUUUUUAAUUUAAUUUUUUUCACAAUUUUUCAUUACAUAUAUGAUUGCAGAAAACAAU